rnacentral:rRNA from 1 species
AGCAGUCGCCACGGUAACACGUAGGGCGCAAGCGUUGUCCGGAAUUAUUGGGCGUAAAGAGCUCGUAGGCGGUCUGUCGCGUCUGGUGUGAAAUCCCGAGGCUCAACCUCGGGCUUGCAUCGGGUACGGGCAGACUAGAGUGCGGUAGGGGAGACUGGAAUUCCUGGUGUAGCGGUGGAAUGCGCAGAUAUCAGGAGGAACACCGAUGGCGAAGGCAGGUCUCUGGGCCGCAACUGACGCUGAGGAGCGAAAGCAUGGGGAGCGAACAGGAUUAGAUACCCCGGUAGUCCCUGUCUCUUAUAU